rnacentral:rRNA from 1 species
GACGAACGCUGGCGGCGUGCCUAAUACAUGCAAGUCGAGCGGAGUUGAUAGGAAGCUUGCUUCCUUGAGACUUAGCGGCGGACGGGUGAGUAACACGUAGGUAACCUGCCUGUAAGACAGGGAUAACAUUCGGAAACGGAUGCUAAUACCGGAUAUGCGAUUCUCUCGCAUGAGAGAAUUGGAAAAGACGGAGCAAUCUGUCACUUACAGAUGGACCUGCGGCGCAUUAGCUAGUUGGUGAGGUAACGGCUCACCAAGGCGACGAUGCGUAGCCGACCUGAGAGGGUGAUCGGCCACACUGGGACUGAGACACGGCCCAGACUCCUACGGGAGGCAGCAGUAGGGAAUCUUCCGCAAUGGACGAAAGUCUGACGGAGCAACGCCGCGUGAGUGAUGAAGGUUUUCGGAUCGUAAAGCUCUGUUGCCAGGGAAGAACGCUUGUGAGAGUAACUGCUCACAAGGUGACGGUACCUGAGAGGAAAGCCCCGGCUAACUACGUGCCAGCAGCCGCCGUAAAAC